rnacentral:misc_RNA from 1 species
UACAGAGGGGGCGGGCGUUGUUCGGAAUUACUGGGCGUAAAGGGCGCGUAGGCGGCCUGUUAAGUCGAACGUGAAAUCCCCGGGCUCAACCCGGGAACUGCGUCCGAUACUGGCAGGCUUGAAUCCGGGAGAGGGAUGUGGAAUUCCAGGUGUAGCGGUGAAAUGCGUAGAUAUCUGGAGGAACACUGGUGGCGAAGGCGGCAUCCUGGACCGGCAUUGACGCUGAGGCGCGAAAGCGUGGGGAGCAAACAGG